UACGUCUUUCAGUAUAAAUAAUGCAAGAGACUACAGUUUUGAGUGCCUUACUACUUUAUUAGGUCUUUUGGUAUCAUAGAUUUUUUUUUUUAAACAAAAAAGAUGAUUUUUUUUUAAAAAAAAUAUUUUAAUGAAAUUAUUUGGAGAGGACCUUUUUUCAUUUAAGCAUUAAUGUUACCUUUUGUAUUGGGGUGUGUGAGCUUGUUCUUGUAUAUCUGUGAUAGCCGCUUUUGUGUGUUCUCUGAGCUGGAAACAAGGGGUCAGUGGGGCAAGGAAGCCCUUGGAAACUGCAGCCAAUAACUGGAAAAAGAAUUUGAGAAAUCCCCAACAGAGGAACUAGAGAUAAGGUGUUGAUUUUGUUUUUUGGUCUUUCUUACUAGACUUUUUUUGUAUUUGCCACAUGGAGGAGAGUUGAACCAGUUCCAGGUGUUAACAUGGUUCAUUUAAGGUUUUCAAACUUGGUCCAAGCCAAAACCAGGGAAAAUGAAAUUUUCAACCUCAUUUGCUUUUCCUUUUCUUUUCCUUCCCGCAUUAGCAUUGAUGAUGUUCUAGCUACUGUCAUAUUGUAAAAGCCUCUUUCUGGCCAUUGUGGACUUAGAGUAUACAGAAAGAGUUGCAUAGCGACUUAAAAACCUAUGGAAAUUAUGCACCCACUGUUAUAUAUAUAUGUUUGAUUUGUGCUUCAAUAUAUUAUUGUUAUUAUAAUAUUUUAUAAAUCUUGUCAGUUUGCUAAUCUCUGCGUUCAGCAGAAACCAAUGGGCAAUAUUUGCCCACGGAGAUCUACGACGCAGCUUGCAUUGCCUGCUUAAAUGUUUCUGAUCUAAUCUCUCACCAGCUCUCCCUGUUGGGUUUUGCAGCUCUUCUAUUGUAUUACAUAGAACCCUCUUCCUCUAACUACGUUAUCAAAUGGAGACCGACUAAAGCCCUCAUCACACAACUAAAAUCCAGGUAGAUUGAACAUGUGUUGGGUUGUGUGUGUGUGUGUGUGUGUGCAGGGAGAGUGGGAUUUCAACAGCAAACCUCACUGUUUUCCUACACGCAAUACGAACUAUACAUAUGAAGACUCUGUAUGCAUGAUCAGGGAUUCUGCAAAAGCCACGGUCCCUGAUUGCAAGUGCAUGCAGGUGGGGCGUAUGUACAGUUCGUUCACACAACCAAACUGAACAUAGGGUGAGGCAAGGGCAUUCUGCGAUCCUGUUCCUCCCCUCCCCCCGAAUGCAUGUUCGGUUUCUCCAGAUUGGUUCCAUCAAUGUAGCCUCAGCAGUUAUUGCAAAUGCACAGGGGGUCAUCUCAGAGGUGGCAUGAAGAGGAAUGCGAGGGGGAGAAGGUCCUCCCAAUUGGACGUAGAAGGCACGGCAAAUACUAUGAAGUCAAUUUUGUUUGAAACUUGCAAUAAAUGCAUUGUUUUU